rnacentral:misc_RNA from 1 species
AUCCGACAUACAUCUACUGAAUCUAAACAAAAGUUAUUGAAUUCUCGAAAACACGUACCCAAAGUUGUAGAUCCUUCCUUCCCUGUCUAUCAGAUCCAGAUUUAUUUGAAAAGAUUACAUGAUACAAAUGUAAACACCAAGAACAAUAAGAGAAGUACCAAAAAGAGCAAGAGCAACAUGAGUUUCUUCACCAAGAAUCAAUCCAAAUACAGCAGUAGCAGCGAAAGUGGUGGCAUUUGUAACAGGAACAGCUAAAGAAAUUGGUGUAUCACUUAAAAUUGCAAAGAAAGUAGCAGAUGCUGUAAGAUUUAGAAGAAAUGGCAGUGAAUAUUGCCAAAUCAACAGAAGUUUGAGCCAAUUUUGUAUAGUGGUGAGAACUGGGUGUUGGGGUGUGUUUGGUUGGGGUAAAGAUUUGAUGGUUUCAUCCCAUUUGAUUGCCCCUUUUCGCAUUAGGGCAUUUGUUGCUCCCCAAACAAGGCCUACUGUUAUCAUCUUCUCCACUUCUCCGAUCAUCUUUUUCCCCUCAAUUUGUG